UACGUAGGGUGCAAGCGUUGUCCGGAAUUAUUGGGCGUAAAGAGCUCGUAGGCGGUCUGUCACGUCGGCUGUGAAAACCCGAGGCUCAACCUCGGGCCUGCAGUCGAUACGGGCAAACUAGAGUACUGCAGGGGAGACUGGAAUUCCUGGUGUAGCGGUGAAAUGCGCAGAUAUCAGGAGGAACACCGGUGGCGAAGGCGGGUCUCUGGGCAAUACCUGACGCUGAGGCGCGAAAGCGUGGGGAGCAAACGGG
rnacentral:rRNA from 1 species